rnacentral:rRNA from 1 species
AUUCCUACGGGAGGCAGCAGUGGGGAAUUUUCCGCAAUGGGCGAAAGCCUGACGGAGCAACGCCGCGUGAGGGAUGAAGGCCUCUGGGCUGUAAACCUCUUUUAUCAAGGAAGAAGAUCUGACGGUACUUGAUGAAUAAGCCACGGCUAAUUCCGUGCCAGCAGCCGCGGUAAUACGGGAGUGGCAAGCGUUAUCCGGAAUUAUUGGGCGUAAAGCGUCCGCAGGCGGCCCUUCAAGUCUGCUGUUAAAAAGUGGAGCUUAACUCCAUCAUGGCAGUGGAAACUGUUGGGCUUGAGUGUGGUAGGGGCAGAGGGAAUUCCCGGUGUAGCGGUGAAAUGCGUAGAUAUCGGGAAGAACACCAGUGGCGAAGGCGCUCUGCUGGGCCAUCACUGACACUCAUGGACGAAAGCCAGGGGAGCGAAAGGGAUUAGAUACCCCUGUAGUCCUGGCCGUAAACGAUGAACACUAGGUGUCGGGGGAAUCGACCCCCUCGGUGUCGUAGCCAACGCGUUAAGUGUUCCGCCUGGGGAGUACGCACGCAAGUGUGAAACUCAAAGGAAUUGACGGAAU